UGCAGGUCCCCGCCAGCGGCUUCAGACUGCCCUCCCUUUGCAGGCCCACUCGGUUUCUUCCGAGAGCUGGAGAGCCUUGACAGAGAAGGGAAAAGGAAAGUAAUUACUGAAAUCCAUGGAACUAUAGUGACAGUUGGCAUUAAUAGGCCAGAAGUCAGGAGACAACACAGUUGCUGCUGCAGUCUUUCAGGUCAUGUGAAGAAGAUACCUCCCUUACAGUGGCAGUGCUUCGUGGACUGGAAAGCUCUAUGUGGAUGUUCAUUAAAUGAUGAGGCUGUUGAUGAGGGCAGCACCAGUUCCAGGAUUCUGAGAUUCCUGAGGUACAGCAUCCUCCUUGUCCAUACUUUCUUCCUAAGAAAACAAAGGACAUCAUUCAUGCUAAGUUUCUAAGAUCUUGGUUGGAGUUCGGAGGUUGGAAUCGUACUCAUCAUGCAAGUGACUAUGGUUUCUGCAUGUGAAUUACAUUUUAAUCCUUAAUUAAUUUGACUACUGUUAAUGGUUCCCAGAUCUUACAAAGCAUUAUUGUUCUCUAAUGCUUAUAGAAAAAAAGUCAAUGCAACCCGAAUAAAAUCAACCAACCAAACAAAAAGUGGCGACACCAAAAAACA